rnacentral:lncRNA from 1 species
CUGGGGGAACUCUUCUUUUUGACAAAUCAAAAGUCCACCUGUGUGAUGGAGAUCGCAUUACACUGCUGCCCCUCCUCCCCACCGAAUGUGCACUCUUCGGAGGGAGGAGGCAGGCAAGGCCCAGGCUGCCUCUUAUUCCUCAUGUAUCCCACCAAUUUGAAAGGCGUCCACAAAUGAACUACAGACAUUUUUAGAGCCAGCAACUGUGUGCAACUUCUGCCUCACUCCCUUCUUUGGCCAACCCUGGGGUUUACUGAAUUAUUUUUUCUUAAUGGCUUUUUGAUAAGGACAAGUACGGUCACACACUGCAUUCUGCCGUUUUGGUCAAUGGCGGACUGCAUAUAUGAUGGUUGAUCCCACAAGAUUAGUACCAUAUAGUCUCGAUGUUGACAAAUAAAAAUGGCAAGCAAUAGGAUAUAUUGGAGUAUAUGAGGAAGCCAUUUGGUAUCAACCUAAUUCAGCCUGACUUUGUUUUUUCCAAAAGGGCCUGACUGUGGCUAUUGAGCACGCAUUGCAUAUCUGCCUAGACAUUUCCUAUGGCCAGAACAAAGGCCCUUGAGACAAAGCUCACCUGUGACCACUCAGCUGGAGACAACAGACUGCCACCCUGCUGUGUUCACUGAGACAGAAGACCUACCUGCUGUUUCCAUCAAUGCUGUGCCGACAGAGCAGUCUCGCGACUAUUGUAAAAGGGACAUUUCAAUCCUAUGUGAAACAUUCUCUCUGGGGGUAUAUAACCAGUCUGUGCACCCCACUUCUUUGGUGUCCUUUCUUCCUUCGGGAAGAAAGGCCCCGGGUUAUAAUCCUCAGAUUUAAGCUCAG